AAGACAGGAAAGGAAUGAAAAAAGAGAAAAAUAAAGAUAGCUGGAGACCCCGGGCCCCCAGGAGCAGGUGGGCUGAGGGGGCUGGCCGUCCCAGACACGGGUUUAGCCAAGGAUGGAAGCCGGGAGUGAAUGCUAGUGAAGGGAACAACCAACCAGGAAGUUCCCCCAACCCCAGAGAACACCAGAGUUUCUGGGAGCUCAGCAGUCAAUUCCCCGGUUAAAAGGAGUGAUUAAGCUAGCCUGAAGGGGGAAAACUCAGGAUUAGGAGCCGGUGUUGUUCAUGGAGCGCGCCCAGGGAGAUGGAGUACGUGGGUCCCUGUGGAGUGGGUCCUUGGUCAUGAUCAGGGAGGCUCCGGAGCCCGGGCGGCACCCAAAGCCGAGGCUCUGGCUUCGGGUUGAAAUCUGGGGUUAGUAGAUCUCUGGAGUCGCAGCACCAACUGUUCUUUUCCACAAAGGAAAACGCGAGGUACAACAGGCCCACGUGGAGAGGUUUAUUGCGGGGAGGGUGGAGCGUGCUGGACAGUGAAGGGAGAAAAGGAGAAAAAGAGGGAGCACACGGCGUUUCGCCUUUUAAAGGGCACCCCCACGCACGUGUGUCAAAUGUUAUGUUCUGCACUUGUGCGCAGUUGUUCCCCAGUCAGCCUCCGUGGAAACGUAGUUCCCUGGGAGAAUAACAUGCCCCAUGUGUCUGCCACAGCUUGUUAAAAGAGGAAAUGCCCCUGCCACCUAGAACUGGCCCUGACAUGGAGACAGCAUCUUCCACUCAGAACACCGAGUGCUGUUGGAGACCGAGAAGGGCAAUCGGCUUACCUGUCAAGACUCUUGUUGCUUCCCGGGGGCCCCAAAUACACAAACCCGGCCUGUGUUCAACAAGAGAGUGGCUCUCUACUGAGAGAGGCAGGAGGGGGAGCCCAGUAAGGAAUCCCUGAGUCCCUGAAUGGGGACCUUUCAGAUCCCUCUGGUUGGACCUGUUAGUUCCUCUUCAUUCUUUGAACAUUGGGGUAUGUGUGUGUGUGGGGGGGGGGUUAUGAACUCUCCCCCCCCCGAACAUUCCCACAUCAUUCUCAGUUUUCAGAGUUGCCUUCCUCUUCAGUAAAGUGAUCCCUGCUGUUGAACUUGUGGGUCCUGGGUCUCUUCUCCAUAGAUGUUUUGUGCAGGCAAACAGUCACUGAAAUAGUGCAUUCAUCAGCUAGACUUCCCUGAUGCCAAGAGCCUGCACCAGACAGGACACCUGGACCUGCAUCAGCUGCGUCUCUCACCAGAGAAGACCUCGUGAUCAUCCUUUAGCUUGGAGGACACAGUGUUCUCUGCUUCCCUCUUCAGUUACCUUGUCUUCUCUGAACGGCCAUUACCUGAGCCUAGGGUGAGCUUUGCUAACCCAGGAACAUGGGGACAGGCUAUACUCUGUGCCAUCUGUGCGGUCUCUCUGCCGUCCUCUCCCCCUGAGCACUCUGUCCCCUGUGACUCCCUGUGUGGAUGAUUCCUCCCUUUGUCUGUGCCCUCAUCUUCCUUCAGGAUCCAUCUGUUCACUGUCAGGGCCUCAGGAAGGUGUGGGCUGGCUUAUGUUCAGGGUUCUUGGGAAUCACCGUCCUUCUCAUCCCGUGGCUUUCCACCCUCUCACUCCUCCCUCAGCCUCCUGGUGCCCGUGGUCUCUGUGUGCAGGACAGGAGGCCAUCAUCACUAGGUCAGACACCCUCAUCCGCAUCGUCACCACCAUCUCUAGUCUGGAGAUUCGCAGAUCGCCUGAAAAGAGUUGUAAAUUCCAAGCUAGUGACCAGCUGCAGACCUGACUGUAGUCCUGCUGCCCAGAAACAGAACGUUAAUGAACUUCCACCUUAGUUUACCUUGGGGGAUAAAAGGUGUUGGGAUAAUAAAUGUGGGUGAUCUUCAGGAUUUGAA